rnacentral:rRNA from 1 species
AGGUUGAUCCCGCCGGACCUGACUGCUAUCGGAUUGGUACUAAGCCAUGCGAGUGAUCGUACAAUACGACGCAGACGGCUCAGUAACACGUAGUCAACCUAACUCAUGGAGGGGGAUAAUCUCGGGAAACUGAGGAUAAACCCUCAUAGAUAAUGGUGCCUGNAAUGGCCCAUUGUUGAAAUAGUUUACUGCCGUGGGAUGGGACUGCGGCCUAUCAGCUUGUUGGUGAGGUAAUGGCCCACCAAGGCUAUAACAGGUACGGGCUCUGAGAGGAGAAGCCCGGAGAUGGGUACUGAGACACGGACCCAGGCCCUAUGGGGCGCAGCAGGCGAGAAACCUUAGCAAUGUGCGAAAGCACGACUGGGUCAGUCCGAGUGAUUUCUGAUAAAGGAAUCUUUUGCCCGUUGUAAACGCACGGGCGAAUAAGGGGUGGGCAAGUCUGGUGUCAGCCGCCGCGGUAAUACCAGCACCUCGAGUGGUCAGGACGAUUAUUGGGCCUAAAGCAUCCGUAGCUGGUCUUGCAAGUCUCCGGUUAAAUCCACCUUGCUCAACAGAUGGGCCGCUGGAGAUACU